AUUGAACGCUGGCGGCAGGCUUAACACAUGCAAGUCGAGCGAGCGGCGGACGGGUGAGUAAUGUCUGGGAAACUGCCUGAUGGAGGGGGAUAACUACUGGAAACGGUAGCUAAUACCGCAUACCAUCAGAUGUGCCCAGAUGGGUUUGGCUAGUAGGUGGGGUAAUGGCUCACCUAGUCGACGAUCCCUAGCUGGUCUGAGAGGCUGACCAGCCACACUGGAACGGAGACACGGUCCAGAUCCUAACGGGAGGAAGCAGUGGGGAUGAUUGCACAAUGGGCGCAGGCCUGAUGCAGCCAUGCCGGGUGUGUGAAGAAGGCCUUCGGGUUGUAAAGCACUUUCAGCGAGGAGGCGUUACUCGCAGAAGAAGCACCGGCUAACUCCGUGCCAGCAGCCGCGGUAAUU
rnacentral:rRNA from 1 species